rnacentral:rRNA from 1 species
UACGAAGGGGGCGAGCGUUGUUCGGAUUUAUUGGGCGUAAAGGGCGCGUAGGCGGCGGGUCAAGUCGAGUGUGAAAGCCCCGGGCUCAACCUGGGAAUUGCGCUCGAGACUGGUCUGCUUGAGUUCGGGAGAGGAGAGUGGAAUUCCCAGUGUAGAGGUGAAAUUCGUAGAUAUUGGGAAGAACACCGGUGGCGAAGGCGGCUCUCUGGACCGAGACUGACGCUGAGGCGCGAAAGCGUGGGGAGCAAACAGG